rnacentral:tRNA from 1 species
CCUUAUAUAUCUAAAUUUAAGUACAGGGUUCUUACCCCUGUGAUGUGCAUAGCACUGUAAGGU